GCCUAAUACAUGCAAGUCGAGCGAACGGACGAGAAGCUUGCUUCUCUGAUGUUAGCGGCGGACGGGUGAGUAACACGUGGAUAACCUACCUAUAAGACUGGGAUAACUUCGGGAAACCGGAGCUAAUACCGGAUAAUAUUUUGAACCGCAUGGUUCAAGAGUGAAAGACGGUCUUGCUGUCACUUAUAGAUGGAUCCGCGCUGCAUUAGCUAGUUGGUAAGGUAACGGCUUACCAAGGCAACGAUGCAUAGCCGACCUGAGAGGGUGAUCGGCCACACUGGAACUGAGACACGGUCCAGACUCCUACGGGAGGCAGCAGUAGGGAAUCUUCCGCAAUGGGCGAAAGCCUGACGGAGCAACGCCGCGUGAGUGAUGAAGGUCUUCGGAUCGUAAAACUCUGUUAUUAGGGAAGAACAUACGUGUAAGUAACUAUGCACGUCUUGACGGUAGCUAAUAAGAAAGCCACGGCUAACUACGUGCCAGCAGCCGCGGUAAUACGU
rnacentral:rRNA from 1 species